rnacentral:SRP_RNA from 1 species
CCAUGCAGCUGGGGUGGUAGCGGUGCCCUGAACCUGCAAUCCGCUAUAGCAGGAGUGUUGGUCUGCCCCGGGUUAUGUUCCCGGUGCUGGCCAUAGUAAGUGGCGUUGACGUACGGGUCUCGCGCAAUGGAAACCUAUGAACCGUGUCAGGUCGGGAACGAAGCAGCACUAAGUAGGAGCUUUCAUGUGCCGUGAGGGUGCCUGAACUGAGUUAACUGCUAUGGUAACGGCUGAGAAUGUGGCACAAAGCAGGCCGCAUGG